CAAGUCGAGCGCACCCUUCGGGGUGAGCGGCAGACGGGUGAGUAACGCGUGGGAACGUGCCCUUUGGUUCGGAAUAGCCCUUGGAAACGAGGAGUAAUGCCGAAUGUGCCCUUCGGGGGAAAGAUUUAUCGCCAAAGGAUCGGCCCGCGUUAGAUUAGCUUGUUGGUGAGGUAACGGCUCACCAAGGCGACGAUCUAUAGCUGGUCUGAGAGGAUGAUCAGCCACACUGGGACUGAGACACGGCCCAGACUCCUACGGGAGGCAGCAGUGGGGAAUCUUGGACAAUGGG
rnacentral:rRNA from 1 species